rnacentral:lncRNA from 1 species
UCAUUUUUCCCCAAGAUAAACGUCUGUCAUUUUUAGUGCCAAUAGCUGGUUCCGGUUUUUUGUCAUUUGGCGGGAAAAAGAAGGAGGCGCACGUGCGGUUUGUACGGUGAUCGAUGGGCAUGUAAUCCACACUUGGACUAGAGUAAUAACCUGUCUCCAUAACAUUGUCAAAAUGGAUUCUAAUCGAUUGAUAAAAGAAAGUUGGCAGAUGUUGUUUUGUUUCAUUCCGACGAGAAUGCCAACAUUGUGGAACAGCUCUAGAUUGGAUCAGAUAAAAGAUUCAGUGAAGGAUGACGAGCUUAGAGACAGUAGAGAUAAUGAAACGUUUAGCAGCCAAUACAAAAACUACAGUAAAUGACCUGCUGCUUUCUUUUCCCGUCGGGAAGGCGUGGUCUCAUCCGCUCAGCUGUGGAUAAUCACACGUUUAUUACUAAAGUAGACUUGGCUACAAUCGUACUGUAAAGUUUGAAAGAAAUCAGUCCGAUUUUCUUCCACCAAUUCGUCUGGAUACUGUGAAACAAUACCAGGAAACAAGACUGUUAUUGAUUGCAGACAUAAUUCUUGAAUGUGUUAUAUUUGCAUUAAAUCUCGUCGGCUAUCCAGUCACUUCUGUGGACAAAAUUAGAUUUACAUUAUCUAAAGUAAGAAUAAUGUUGCAGUCAGAAGAUAUGCUGUCAUUCUUUAGUAAGGUUUUAGAGAUCAGAAAGGGCAAUGCUUAUAUCUGGAGCGUGAAGCAAGUUUUUGAUCUUCUCUACGGAUUAUACAAAAAAGGACUUCUUCUAGAAUUAAUCCGUGACCUCAUUGAUGCCACUGACUGGCGUGAUAUCCUUAUUGCUGUUGCAAAGAUAACGGUUUUAAUCGUUGCAGCUGUUAAACACUUUACCGAAUUCCGUCUGCCAAAGAAUUUGUUGAAAGGAUCAGAACUUCUGAACAAAAUUGCUACACUAAGGCAACUUUCUGUCGACUUAAAAAGCAAACUUUGAAUUGUAUCAGUUAUUGAAAACAGAUAUUUGAUUAUUUGAAUUGUACAACAAAGCCUCUGUAAUGAUAGUACAUUGUUAUAAUCAAGAUUACCUGUCUCUUGUAUAAAAGCUUGAAACUUU